rnacentral:rRNA from 1 species
UACGUAGGGUGCUAGCGUUGUCCGGAAUCAUUGGGCGUAAAGCGCGUGUAGGCGGCCCGGUAAGUCCGCUGUGAAAGCCGGGGGCUCAACCCUCGGAUGGCGGUGGAUACUGUCGGGCUAGAGUACGGAAGAGGCGAGUGGAAUUCCUGGUGUAGAGGUGAAAUGCGCAGAUAUCAGGAGGAACACCAAUUGCGAAGGCAGCUCGCUGGGACGGCACUGACGCUGAGACACGAAAGCGUGGGGAGCAAACAGG